GUAGGUGAACCUGCGGAAGGAUCAUUACAAGUCGGUUGGACGAGUGGGAAAACUCCACUGUGGACCCUCACUGAGAAAUCCUCACUGAGAAUCUUCACUGGACACCCCACUGCGACUAACACAUUAGCACAGGGCCGCAAGGCCUUGAUGUUUACGCUUGCAUGUUUGACAGAGUUAAAUUGAGACCUAAAAUGACAACUUUUAACAACGGAUCUCUUGGCUCUUGCAUCGAUGAAGAACGCAGCAUCUG
rnacentral:misc_RNA from 1 species